AAGGUACCGUCAAAUCAGAGCAAUAUUAGUACUCAUCUCUUCUUCCCAAUUGAAAGCGGUUUACAACCCAAGGCCUUCUUCCCGCACGCGGCGUCGCUGCAUCAGGCUUUCGCCCAUUGUGCAAUAUUCCCCA
rnacentral:rRNA from 1 species